GCCACCUCAGUGGUGACUGUAUGCUUGAAUCUAUCCACAGGAUUUUCUUCUCAGAAUACUUGGAUUUUGAUGAUGGGAGACGUAGACCUGAGAAGGGAGCCCCUGAUGACCUUUUCUGAAGACACACGUGCACCUCCUGGGAAAGUAUUUUGCAAGAUUUGAAGCCUGGAGUUUUCCCCUUUCUUCUUGCUAUCUAUCUCUCCUCUAUCUUCUGCCCCAUUCUCAUUCAGUUAAUUAAUCUCUUUCUUUUCCUCCUUUUCUCCCUUCCUCCAUCCUAAGCCCAGCACAAGAUCCCUUCUUCCUCCUGGAGAAGUUUACCUUUGCUCAGAAGAAAGAAGUAGGGUAAAGAGAAAGAUUUCUUUCUGCUCAGGAGUAAAAACAAAAUGAAUACAACCUCAGAAAAUUAGUACAUAAAGAAUUUAAAUUGAAAAGGGGAAGUUGAUAAGAAGAGAUGAGAUCCAGACCAUCCUGUCAGAAAGGAAGCAUCCAGUUUGACUCGAUCUUGUUGCCAAAGCCCUGUCUUUCACUCAAUCCUUUUAAAUGCACAAAAAACUAAGCAACAAUGCAUUCUGCUGUCAUUUAUUGUUUAAAAAAUAAAUUUAAAGAAACUAAGCAACAAUCAAACCCUUUUUUUUUUUUUUUUUUGGUGCCAAGGAUUGAAUUCAGAGACAUUCAACCACUGAGCCACAUUCCUAGCCCUAUUUUUUGUAUUUUAUUCAGAGACAGGGUCUCACUGAGUUGCUUAGCACCAUGCUUUUGCUGAGACUGGCUUUGAAAUUGCAAUCCUCCUGCCUUAGCCUCCUAAGCCACUGGGAUUAUAGGCAUGUGCCACCCUACCUAGUCCAACCUACUUUUAACUACUUAAUAUUAUUGCUUUUAUUUAUUUAUUUAUUUAUUUGGAGUACUGGGGAUUUAACCCAGGGGUACUUGACCACUGUGCCACAUCCCCAGCCCUUUUCAUUUUUUAUUUUGAGACAGUAUUUCAAGAAGUUCUUGAGAGCCUCACUAAGUUGUGUAGGAUCUCACUAAAUUGCUAAGACUGACCUUGAACUUAUGAUCCUCCUGCCUCAGCCUCCCAGGUCACUGAGAUUGCAGGUGUGCACAAACACACCUGGCUGCUAUUGCUUUUAAGUACCAACCAUCUGCCUUUCUGUUUCCAUCUGUUCUGUGGAAUAUUUGAUGUUGUACAUCAGUGUUAAUGACUGAAUUUUGAGGUAUUUUGUGAAUAAAAAAA
rnacentral:lncRNA from 1 species